rnacentral:tRNA from 1 species
UGGCUCAGUGGGUAAGAACACUUGCUCUAUAGGCAGGAGGUCCUGGGUUCAAAUCCCAG